rfam:TPA: Bos taurus chromosome 23, whole genome shotgun sequence.
CCAAAGGCUCUUUUCAGAGCCACCUACGUUUUCUGCUGAGGAGCUG